UGAGGAAUAUUGCGCAAUGGAGGAAACUCUGACGCAGCCAUGCCGCGUGAAGGAUUGAAUGCCCUAUGGGUUGUAAACUUCUUUUUGUACGGGAAAAAACCCUUGCUCGUGAGCGAGGUUGAUGGUACCGUAAGAAUAAGCACCGGCUAACUCCGUGCCAGCAGCCGCGGUAAUACGGAGGGUGCAAGCGUUAUCCGGAUUUAUUGGGUUUAAAGGGUCCGUAGGCGGAUCGUUAAGUCAGUGGUGAAAGCCCACAGCUCAACUGUGGAACUGCCAUUGAUACUGGCGAUCUUGAGUGCGUGUGAAGUUAGCGGAAUGUGUGGUGUAGCGGUGAAAUGCUUAGAUAUCACACAGAACACCAAUUGCGAAGGCAGCUGGCUAACACGCAACUGACGCUGAGGGACGAAAGUGUGGGGAUCAAACAGGAUUAGAUACCCCGGUAGUCCCUGAGCGGGCUGGCAAGGCGCAU
rnacentral:rRNA from 1 species